ensembl:lncRNA CCR5AS CCR5 antisense RNA
GUAGGUAACAGGUACCAGCUACUGUCAGCAGGGAGGAAGGUAUGUGGUGACCACGAGUCCAGACCUGAGGGUCCUGACCCUCUAAUGCGGCCUCUCACCAGUGUUCGCAGAAACCCACCCGCUGAUUCAAUACGGGGACCAGGAACCUGCCAUGACAGUCACGACUCAGUCUGCCUGCACCUACAUGAUUAAAAAGCUUUAUUGCUCACACAAAGCCUGUUUGGUGGUCUCUUCAUAUGGAUGCGCAUAACAUUUGGUGCCGAAGACCCCGGACAGGGUGACUCCUUCGGGAGAUUGGUCCCCUCUCCUCACCCUCACUCCAUGAGAAGAUCCACCUACGACCUCAGGUCCUCAGACCAGCCCAAGGAACAUCUCACCAAUUUCAAACCGGGCUUCCCUCUUGUCUGGAGGAAAAAGAAAAAAGAGAACCAGACUUAGACACAACUUCUUGUGGGCACAUAUUCAGAAGGCAUCUCACUGGAGAGGGUUUAGUUCUCCUUAGCAGAAGAUAAGAUUUCAAGAUUUCAGCUAAGACUCAUCUCUCUGCAAAUCUUUCUUUUGAGAGCAUCUUCACCAGGAGGAGAUUCCAUCUCAAGAGACCACUUUCACUGCUCAUAUGUAAGAAGCAACUCUUCAUCUGUUCAAGUUUGAUCAUGAGAGUGCGGCAAUUCAGUCACAACUUCAGGCUCCACUUCUAGUUCUAGUUCUCUUGCUGUUUCCACCACAUCUACAGCGACUUCCUCCACUGAAGACGUGAACCCCUGAAAGUCAUCUAUGGGGGUUGGAAUCAAUGUCUUUCACACUCCUGUUAAUGUUGGUAUUUUGACCUCCUCCCAUGAAUUACAAAUGUUCCUAAUGGCAUCUAGAAUAAUGACUACUUUCCAGAAGCUUUUCAAUUUGCUUUGCUCAGAUCCAUCAAUGGAAUCACUAUCAAUGGUAGCUAUAUAAACUAUAUAAGGCUAUAUAUAUAUAUAUAGCUAUUUCUUAAUAGCCUUAUGAAAUAUAUUUCUUAAUAAGACUUGAAAGUCUUGGUCCAUGGACUGCAGAAUGGAUGUUUGUGUUAGCAGGGAUGAAAACAACAUGAAUAUUCUCGUACAUCUCCAACACAGCUCUUGAUCGACAUGGUGCAGAGCAGUAAUAUUUUGAAAGGAAUCUUUUUUUCUGAGCAAUAGUUCUCAAUAGUGGGCUUGAAAUAUUCAGUAAACCAUGCUGUAAACAGA